UCGAGGAUCUUCGGCAAUGAGCGCAAGCUUGACCGAGCGACGCCGCGUGUGCGAUGAAGGCCUUCGGGUUGUAAAGCACUGUCGAGGGGGAGAAAAGCCCGCAAGGGUCUGAUCUAUCCCUGGAGGAAGCACGGGCUAAGUUCGUGCCAGCAGCCGCGGUAAGACGAACCGUGCGAACGUUGUUCGGAUUCACUGGGCUUAAAGGGCGCGUAGGCGGAUUGGCAAGUCCGGGGUGAAAUCUUUCAGCUUAACUGGAAAAGUGCCUUGGAUACUGCCAGUCUCGAGGGAGGUAGGGGUCUGCGGAACUUCUGGUGGAGCGGUGAAAUGCGUAGAUAUCAGAAGGAACGCCGGUGGCGAAAGCGGCGGACUGGACCUCUUCUGACGCUGAGGCGCGAAAGCUAGGGGAGCAAACGG
rnacentral:rRNA from 1 species